CGGUCCCAUACCGAACCCGGCAGUUAAGCACGUCAGCGCUGAUGGUACUUGGAGGGCGACCUCCCGGGAGAGUAGGUCAUUGCCAAGG
rnacentral:rRNA from 1 species